CCUGCAUACGCGCGUCUGAUUGAUUGACUGACAGCAGUGGGCGGGAGUUAGGCUAUUUACUUGGCAAGGCUACUGCUUCCUGGACUGGCAUAUUCCGCUGCGGCCAGACCGCAUUGUUGGCGUGGGCACGCUGCGUUCGUUUGAGACGUUGCCGUUCGAUUGACCCUUUGUCGUUGCCCUAUUGCGCUGGUAAUCCCCGCCUAGUGAGCUGUAGGCCAGGCCUGGAAUUACGCGUGGGAAAGGGGAGGCUCCGCGGCAGUUGUGUGUGAGAGAUCCCAGUGCGCAAAGUGCGCACCAGCCGUCUCCAGGACGAGGACGCAAUGUGGGAUGCCCGUAUACGCCGCUCCAACUGCUGUUUUGUCUGGAGAAGAGUUUGAUUUUCGUUAUUUUCUGUUUGUGUUUUAUUUUGUUUGUAUCUUGUGGCGUGGUUUGUUUGAGCUCGCCGAGCUCUUUGGCUGCGUCAGCCGCCUUUAUCCAUCCGCAUCGCGCCUAUUGGGCUGUGUGCGCAUCAGUCACCCAUUCUAGGGAAACGGCUCUGGUGGCUGCGUCCACGCCUUCAUAUCCAGUAGCCUAGUGUGUGCAGUGACUUAUUUACAUUUUCUUUUGAGUUUUGCAUGCUUAUGUUACAGUGGUUUUGUGAUUUUAUUUAUGUUUUUGUGUGCUUUGAUUUGCUGGGAUUUGAGAUACAUUUCCCCUGCUGCUGGUAUGUCGGGCGCCAUUCGUGGUUCCACCUCAUCCUAUUAACCCCUUUUCUGUGACUGGACUGCGUUACUUCAGUGCAAGUGUGCGCAAAAUGUAUGUUUAACUGUCUGCUUUAUUUAUUGAAACCAAGUUUGCACAGUUGAAAAGAAAAAUAAAACAAAUGUAUUUGGGACCCUCGUUUCUGUCUCUGUACAACGAACCUGUUUAGCCUUUCAGUA